AAGGUACUCCCUCCGUUCGGAAUUACUUGUCGCAGAAAUGGAUGUAUCUAGACGUAUUUUAGUUCUAGAUAUAUCCAUUUCCGAGACAAGUAAUUCCGAACGGAGGGAGUAUGUG
rnacentral:pre_miRNA from 1 species